GUCUCACUGAGUUGCUGAACACUUUACCAUUGCUGAGGCUGGUUUUGAACUAGCAAUCCUCCUGCCUCAGCCUCCUGAGCUGCUAGGAUUAUUGGCGCAAGCCACCACACGUGCUAAUAGGAAAGAGACCUCAACCCAAGAAGAGCACUCCGGAGCCUCUUUGGCCUUUUAUGACCAAAUGGAUUGCAGAUAGGUCUGGAACAAGGGGGACAACAGUAGAAUUUAAGUUAAUAAAAAGUUUCUAAGUCUUUCUGCUGAUGGUUUUUACAACAUUAGAGCAGAAGAAGGCUUGUACAAGUUGCUGGGUCUGACAAGGAAAUUAUCAGAAAAUUUCAGUCUCUACCAUCUUCCACAAACAGAUUAACAUGCUCAGAUAAUAAUGCUCUGCAUUUUAAAAUCUGUUUCUAAGGAGACAGGAACAAACAAAAUAUCUUACCCUUCAGGGAUUUGUGUUGUAUACCACAUCAGGCUUAUAAGAAAAGAGAGCUGGGGAAAUAUCAGUCAGGAUAAUCAUUUCUUAUAAGAGAAGCUUACUUAAGUUUAUCCUUCCUUUGGUUUACUGAAAUGGGAGUUGGGAGCAAAACUUAACAUGACUUGAAGAAUAUAUCUCCUUAUCAUUACUACUUGGAAAAUUCUUUCUCUUUUAGCUAUACCCAGUCUUAAUUUGGGGCCACUUCAAUGUGGGAAUUAAUAACUAAAUCAAAGAAAUAGGAAGUUGCUUAGUAUGAAAUAGAUAAAGGUAUCAGGGGAUAGCCUUGCUGCUUUAUUAAAGAAAAUGCACACACAUACACAUGCGCGUACACGCGCGCACACACACACACACACACACACGUUUCACAAACUCCAAUUGACCUUUCUGCUUUCUAUUUAUGCAGAGGAAAUGCCACUAGCUAUUUUGGGUGAUGCAGAGAUAAAGGGGAGUGAUAGAAGUUAAUCAUUUAAUGUCUUUGGGGCUGAGGCUGGAGCAAAAGCUUUAGGCGUAUUAUAAGGGAGUCCAGCCAUCACAGUGGGCUCAGGAUAAAGGAAGCAGACAAAUCAAGCAGUAGCUCAAGGGGGAAGAUGGCAGGGGACACAAAACAGUCUUUUAAGGUGAUGGGAAGACUAAUGGGUUAGAAGGGAAUGGGGCCAGGCCACAAAGGUGGUAAAGGAGCAGUAGUGAGACAAUAAGGAGGAGAGGGGUGUGUGUAUGUGUGAAAGAGAGAAUGGGGGACAGGGCUGGGGUGGACACAGAGUAAAGAAUGUUCUCAAAUAAUUCUGCCACAACCUGUGUGAUGGGGGGCAAUUGAAUGCUUUUGAAGACUUGGAUUCUAGACUUAACUCUUGCCAUUACCGUGUGAUCUGGAGCAAGUCAUUUCCUCUCCACCUGUUUCCUGCCUAUGUCUAAACAUUGCUGUAGAGAAUCGAAAUAGUGUAAUGGGUUAAAUCAAGUGAAAUUGUCAUUGUGGUUCAGCCUAUUAUGUAGAAGUGCUUCAAAUGCUAUAAAAAGCCCUCAUCUUUGGAGGAGGAAUCUUUCACUUUAUUUUUAGGCUGCCUGAUCUUCCAUCAUUAGUGUUUUACCCCUGAAUGCUUCCUUAGGCUUCUAACAUCCUGCUAUUAUCAUACAAAUGCACCCCCCCACUAGAAAUAAUAAUAAUCACUUUGACAUUUUCAGCUGGCACUUGACGAGCUGGGAACCAACAAAGGAGUGAGAAAAUCUCGCAGACAGCAGCUCAGAAAAGACACACACACAUUGCACCGGUCCUGGAUGUUGAGGACAUGUCUUCAGACGUAGGCCUGUCACCCUAUGGAUUGAGCUACACUCACCUGUUCCUUUGUGAUAUUACCCCUUGCCCUGUUUGGGAUAGAAUGUUCCAUGGAAACACUUUGUGUGUUCCUUUCCUUGCUCUGCCUUUGGGAGUGGCCUUCCUAGAUGUCAGUCAACCUGCUGACAGCAGACAUCAGGAAGCUAGGCUCAACCCCCUGAAACCUGACCCCUUGCCUCAUUUGAAUGGCUUCUCCUCAAUAAAAGGGUUCAGCAUGCGCUCUCUUGCUCUCUUUCUGCAGACCCUUAAGGUCAGAGGAGCCAACACAGGACCCCAAAGAAAAAGGUAUCUCUGUCUCUUGUGUGGUUAUUUCAUGCAGCCCGGUUCCCCUGGUGUGACCCUGAGUGUUUUAGUCGUGAGGAACGGGACAUCUCCCCACCCUGCC
rnacentral:lncRNA from 1 species